GCCACUGCCAGGAGAUGGGGAAAAGGUGGCAUUGGCAAUUUUAGGCUGCCUUUACUAAUGUCUUCAAUGCCUCUUUCUGUGAUAUGAAGAUAAAACCAGAUGUGGACAAAAUACUCUUCCAUCUGAAUGACUUUAGAAAGAGCGUGAUAAGAAAAUCACACAAAUUGACAGGAAAGUUAUAUCCGUGUCCUUAGUACUUCCUAAUCUUCAGUGCUUCCUUGAAGUGGACAAAGAUGGGCAGUUGAAUCUGACUGGAGAAAAAUCACAAAACCCUCAGAAAAUUGCUUCCACAAAGUAAUGUUCUCUGACCAC